rnacentral:rRNA from 1 species
AGAAUCAACGCUGGCGGCGUGCCUAACACAUGCAAGUCGAACGAGAAAGCGGAGCAAUCCAUGAGUAAAGUGGCGCACGGGUGAGUAACACGUGACUAACCUACCUUUUAGUGGGGGAUAACCUAGGGAAACCUGGGCUAAUACCGCAUAAUACCUACGGGUCAAAGCAGCAAUGCGCUGAAAGAGGGGGUCGCGGUCGAUUAGUUAGUUGGCAGGGUAAUGGCCUACCAAGACUGUGAUCGAUAUCCGGCCUGAGAGGGCGCACGGACACACUGGAACUGAAACACGGUCCAGACUCCUACGGGAGGCAGCAGUGGGGAAUUUUGCGCAAUGGGGGAAACCCUGACGCAGCAACGCCGCGUGGAGGAUGAAGUCCCUUGGGACGUAAACUCCUUUCGAUCGGGACGAUAAUGACGGUACCGGAAGAAGAAGCCCGGCUAACUUCGCGCCAGCAGCCGC